rnacentral:rRNA from 1 species
UACGAAGGGGGCUAGCGUUGCUCGGAUUGACUGGGCGUAAAGGGCGCGUAGGCGGUUCGUACAGUCAGACGUGAAAUUCCUGGGCUCAACCUGGGGGCUGCGUUUGAUACGUGCGGGCUUGAGUGCGGAAGAGGGUCGUGGAAUUCCCAGUGUAGAGGUGAAAUUCGUAGAUAUUGGGAAGAACACCGGUGGCGAAGGCGGCGACCUGGUCCGAUACUGACGCUGAGGCGCGAAAGCGUGGGGGAGCAAACAGG